UUUAAGUUAGCCUUAAAUAUGUUAAUCACAGGUCUUAAAUUUUGAUCAUUUAAACUCUUUUCUAUCAGACUAAAGUUUGAGUCAUGCUCAGAUGUCUUUGUUGCCUUUGAGGCGGUUGAGGCUACUGCUAACUAGCUGCUAAUGUGCAUGCUUUUGCUAGCUAAGUUUUUUUUUUUGCGUCUGUCAUGGGUAAGUUCAAAUGUAUUGACAGUUGGCUAUCAAUACAUUUGAACAAGCAGCUGUUCAAAUUGUGGCUUUGCAAUGGCUAAUUUCCAGUAGCAAUAGAAAUUAGCUAUUGGCUAAUUUCCAUUUGCCAACCCAUAAGAUGCUAAGGUGAAUUCUGUGUAAAAAAAAACGUACAACUAAGAUGGUGAAUACUGUAGAUUUGUGUACAUUUCUGUAAAUUUGUGUCGUGAAACUGGUCUUAAAUUUCAUUCAUAAAGGUCUUUAAAAGGUCUUUAGAUUUAUCUUUCAAAUGCAGGUUUUCACAUAACCUGUCAGGGAUGAUGUAUAAAUGAGCUUCAAAAAUAACAAUCAUCAGACAAAGACAAGAUAUUAAAUCCUACCUUUGCCCAGUUUUAAUUGUCACAGGCGUGCUUUUCCAGGUUAUCCAGUCCCGGUUGGGUCGAUCCAGCAGCGCAAUCAGCUCCAAAACAUCAUGAAGUGUCGGGUUCAGAGCCCGUGUUUUGGGCAUGCUGAGCCAGAGAGCUUUAUAUCGAAGCGUUUUUCUCUCGUAAUCAGGGCUAAGUUUGCGUGAGCGGCCGGGGCAGCUGCUCUGUAAGAAGUGGACGUGAACGAGCACGGCGCUCGCAUGCGCGUUUGUCGGCUCCUUUGCCAGGGUUUAUUUAGAGUUUACAGUAACACAGCAGGGGCGACAGUCUGCUUUAUCCACCAGUGUUUGGUGUGUACGUUAAAAGCGUCCGUGUGGGCGUAAUGUUCGGCAUGGUUGCUCACUGAAAGACGAGAAAGCCAAGCUGCUGAAACGCGCUCGUCUUCUAAUCUGAACCGGAGAACAGAGAAAAUGUCUGUACUGCAGCCAAAGUGGAUCCAAACGCUGUACAACUCCCCCGCUGUCCUGCAUUCAUUAUUCAGAGAAGGAAUUAGAGUACGGGAGAUUCUAUGUUUAAUUACUUUUCAUUUACAUGCAUCUGUUCUCGAGAGAGGACUCUCGUUUGUCUGCUGGUCUCAGCGGCCGAGACGGUGGAGGACGGAAGGAAGGAAGGAAAAGGGAAAGUGGAUUAUUUAAAAAGCUAGGCUCAGUGAAGUGCAGCCCGGCUUCUAAGGGGAACUAAUAACCCCACAUUUACAACAAAGACCUAUUUAUCAAGGAUACAAAGCACUUAGUGACUAUUAAUUAAUCAGCAGCUGUUACACAGAAGGUCUUCCUUAAAUUUCCGACUGGUUCUGCUUGUUUUGUGCCGUGUUUCUCGUGUUCCUGAAGUUAGUUAGAAGUAGACAGGCAUCACGUCGAGUGGUGAAGCUGGAAUAUUCUCAGCCUGUAAUCAAUUCUUAAUGGAUUUUCAAUCAGAAAGCUUCUUGGUAUCCACCUCUUGAGGCUCCUCUCUGGACUUGGCACAGUGACCUACGGGGAGGCUGCAGAUCUCUUUUGAAGAGCUGGUUGCCACGGCAGCCGUAAACACUCCCGAUUUUCAAAAAAGAAGAUUUCUCAACACCCUCCCCUGCUUUCCAUCUCUAUUCGGUGCUGCGUUGUCUGUUUUUUUUUUAUUUUCCUGCCGUUUCCACCUACACAACCGGAGUAGCUUUUGCAAAACAGUUUCUUCUUGUGGGUUUCUCAGUUGUGCAAUAGCCUGGGAGAUAAAAGAGAUGGCUCUGAACCCAGAGCUGCAAGAAAUAAUUCUUUGGAGCCACUUGGGACAAUGGAGGAAAAGACGGGAGGAAUACUGUAACAUUUAGCACCGCCAAAAGCGACGUGUCGCUUAUUCACAAAAUAGGUGUGGAUGUGAGACAGAACAACAUCCAUUUACAGAUGUAGCACUGCGCAAAAUAAUUCAUAUCCCUUGAAUAUUUUCACAUUACAAUUAUAAAUGCAUUAUUCUAGAGAAGGAAACAAAAGGAAAAUCCUGUACAACUGAUGGAUAUGCCACUAAAAGUUUGCUAGAGAGCAUUAGUGAACAAAUAGCAUUGUGAAGAUAAACACCAUCCAUCAUCCAUAACGUCAAACCCACCAAAGCCAUCCGUCUAAAUGGUAAGACUCAGUAAGGAGAGCAUUUAAUCAGAGAAGGAACCAAGUUGCCCAUGGAUACGGUGGCCCAGAGGGGACAAUGAAAAAAUUCACAGCACAGCUGCAAAAGCUACAAGAUAACAGUGAAACCCGCGCCGUGUUCAGAACAACGCAGCCUUAGUAUAAUUUCUGUUUAUUCUGAAACAGAAAUUAUGCUAAAUCGGAAGUGAUGCUAAAUUUGUUAGCAUCUCUUCUGUCAGAUCAUAACUUCCGCAUUGGUUUUUUGUUGUUGUGUUGUCGUUUUUAUUAGUUGCAUUGUGAUUUUUGAUUUUUUGUUGUUAGUUUGUGACUGGUUAUGUUGUGACUUCAGUUAUUUUGUUGACUUUUGUUGUGUUGCGGCAUCAGUUACUUAAUAGCAAGUUGGUUUUGUGAUGCAGCUUUUUGUUUGUGGCUUCUUCUUG